ACGCCUUUUGCUUGCAUAGAUACGGCAGGUCCUUCGGCGCGAGUUUAAGCCACAUUGAACGACACUGUUUAGCAUCUCCCUAACUAUAUAUCAACAGAAGCAGUGGAGCAGAGUCUGUUUCAGCUGCUCUGUGCGCAGAACACGCCCUGAUUCAAAGAGAGAAAGAUGCCAUGAAUGCCCCCGACACCUACGAGCGAUUCGUCGUUCCAGAGGGUACUAAAAAGUAA
rnacentral:misc_RNA from 1 species